UGCGUAGGCGGAUCAAUAAGUCAGUGGUGAAAUCUCUCGGCUCAACCGGGAAACUGCCAUUGAUACUGUUGAUCUUGAGUUCGGUUGAGGUAGGCGGAAUGUGUAAUGUAGCGGUGAAAUACUUAGAUAUUACACAGAACACCAAUUGCGUAGGCAGCUUACUAGACCGACACUGACGCUGAGGCACGAAAGCGUGGGGAGCGAACAGGAUUAGAUACCCUGGUAGUCC
rnacentral:rRNA from 1 species